rnacentral:rRNA from 1 species
AUGAACGCUGGCGGCGUGCCUAAUACAUGCAAGUCGAGCGAACAGACGAGGAGCUUGCUCCUCUGACGUUAGCGGCGGACGGGUGAGUAACACGUGGAUAACCUACCUAUAAGACUGGGAUAACUUCGGGAAACCGGAGCUAAUACCGGAUAAUAUAUUGAACCGCAUGGUUCAAUAGUGAAAGACGGUUUUGCUGUCACUUAUAGAUGGAUCCGCGCCGCAUUAGCUAGUUGGUAAGGUAACGGCUUACCAAGGCAACGAUGCGUAGCCGACCUGAGAGGGUGAUCGGCCACACUGGAACUGAGACACGGUCCAGACUCCUACGGGAGGCAGCAGUAGGGAAUCUUCCGCAAUGGGCGAAAGCCUGACGGAGCAACGCCGCGUGAGUGAUGAAGGUCUUCGGAUCGUAAAACUCUGUUAUUAGGGAAGAACAAAUGUGUAAGUAACUAAGCACGUCUUGACGGUACCUAAUCAGAAAGCCACGGCUAACUACGUG